AUCCAGCUGACCACGAGUCCCAAAUAGGGCGAAAUGCGAAUCCUGGCUGGAU
rnacentral:hammerhead_ribozyme from 1 species